AACACGUGAGUAACCUGCCCUUGACUUUGGGAUAACUUCAGGAAACUGGGGCUAAUACCGGAUAGGAGCUCCUGCUGCAUGGUGGGGGUUGGAAAGUUUCGGCGGUUGGGGAUGGACUCGCGGCUUAUCAGCUUGUUGGUGGGGUAGUGGCUUACCAAGGCUUUGACGGGUAGCCGGCCUGAGAGGGUGACCGGCCACAUUGGGACUGAGAUACGGCCCAGACUCCUACGGGAGGCAGCAGUGGGGAAUAUUGCACAAUGGGCGGAAGCCUGAUGCAGCAACGCCGCGUGCGGGAUGACGGCCUUCGGGUUGUAAACCGCUUUCGCCUGUGACGAAGCGUGAGUGACGGUAAUGGGUAAAGAAGCACCGGCUAACUACGUGCCAGCAGCCGCGGUGAUACGUAGGGUGCGAGCGUUGUCCGGAUUUAUUGGGCGUAAAGGGCUCGUAGGUGGUUGAUCGCGUCGGAAGUGUAAUCUUGGGGCUUAACCCUGAGCGUGCUUUCGAUACGGGUUGACUUGAGGAAGGUAGGGGAGAAUGGA
rnacentral:rRNA from 1 species